rnacentral:rRNA from 1 species
UACAGAGGUCUCAAGCGUUGUUCGGAUUCAUUGGGCGUAAAGGGCGCGUAGGCGGCCACCGCAAGUCAAUUGUGAAAUCUCCGGGCUUAACUCGGAAAGGUCAACUGAUACUGCGGGGCUAGAGUGCGGAAGGGGCAACUGGAAUUCUCGGUGUAGCGGUGAAAUGCGUAGAUAUCGGGAGGAACACCAGUGGCGAAGGCGACUACCUGGCCUGUUCUUGACGCUGAGGCGCGAAAGCUAGGGGAGCAAACGGG